rnacentral:tRNA from 1 species
AGUGGUGUAGCUCAGUGAUAGAGCACUAGCUUACCAGGCAUGAGGUCCUGGCUUCCAUCCCCAGUACCACAA